GAUGAACGCUGGCGGCGUGCCUAAUACAUGCAAGUCGAGCGAACAGAUGAGGAGCUUGCUCCUCUGACGUUAGCGGCGGACGGGUGAGUAACACGUGGAUAACCUACCUAAGACUGGGAUAACUUCGGGAAACCGGAGCUAAUACCGGAUAAUAUAUUGAACCGCAUGGUUCAAUAGUGAAAGACGGUUUUGCUGUCACUUAUAGAUGGAUCCGCGCCGCAUUAGCUAGUUGGUAAGGUAACGGCUUACCAAGGCAACGAUGCGUAGCCGACCUGAGAGGGUGAUCGGCCACACUGGAACUGAGACACGGUCCAGACUCCUACGGGAGGCAGCAGUAGGGAAUCUUCCGCAAUGGGCGAAAGCCUGACGGAGCAACGCCGCGUGAGUGAUGAAGGUCUUCGGAUCGUAAAACUCUGUUAUUAGGGAAGAACAAAUGUGUAAGUAACUAUGCACGUCUUGACGGUACCUAAUCAGAAAGCCACGGCUAACUACGUG
rnacentral:rRNA from 1 species